AUUGAACGCUGGCGGCAGGCUUAACACAUGCAAGUCGAGCGGGGACUUCGGUCCUAGCGGCGAACGGGUGAGGAAUGCUUGGGAAUCUGCCCAGUAGCGGGGGAUAACGUUUCGAAAGGAACGCUAAUACCGCAUACGCCCUACGGGGGAAAGGGGGGGAUCUUCGGACCUCUCACUAUUGGAUGAGCCCAAGUCGGAUUAGCUAGUUGGUGGGGUAAAGGCCUACCAAGGCGACGAUCCGUAGCUGGUCUGAGAGGAUGAUCAGCCACACUGGAACUGAGACACGGUCCAGACUCCUACGGGAGGCAGCAGUGGGGAAUAUUGGACAAUGGGCGAAAGCCUGAUCCAGCCAUGCCGCGUGUGUGAAGAAGGCCUUCGGGUUGUAAAGCACUUUAAGCGAGGAGGAAUGGCUGAGGGUUAAUAACCUUCAGCAGUGACGUUACUCGCAGAAUAAGCACCGGCUAACUCUGUGCCAGCCGCCGCCGCCGUAA
rnacentral:rRNA from 1 species